rnacentral:misc_RNA from 1 species
UAAUAAGUGUUUUAUGGCACUUUUUAGAUCCAUAUCCACCUUGUGUGCAAUGUCAGUCGAUCUUCUUUAUUGGAGAUCGACCAAACAUCAACCUUUAUCUUUUAACUCUUUGUCUGAAAAAUAUUAUGAAUAAACAAUUCAAAAUA